rfam:Danio rerio chromosome 14 genomic contig CTG1748, GRCz11 reference primary assembly.
GCCGGCAGCUAGCUCUCUGCAACUCUCAUGUGGUCACCCACUAAAGUUAAGCAGGGCUGUGCCCAGUCAGUACCUGGAUGGAAGACCACAUGGGAAAGCUAGGUUGCUGAUGGAA